rnacentral:rRNA from 1 species
UACGGAGGAUGCGAGCGUUAUCCGGAUUUAUUGGGUUUAAAGGGUGCGUAGGCGGACGGUCAAGUCAGCGGUAAAAAUGCGGUGCUCAACGCCGUACAGCCGUUGAAACUGGCAGUCUUGAGUGGGCGAGAAGAAGGCGGAAUGCGUGGUGUAGCGGUGAAAUGCAUAGAUAUCACGCAGAACCCCGAUUGCGAAGGCAGCAUACCGGUGCACAACUGACGCUCAGGCACGAAAGCGUGGGUAUCGAACAGG